GCCGUAAACGAUGGGCACUAGGUGUCGCGGGUAUUGACCCCUGCGGUGCCGUAGCUAACGCAUUAAGUGCCCCGCCUGGGGAGUACGGCCGCAAGGCUAAAACUCAAAGGAAUUGACGGGGGCCCGCACAAGCGGUGGAGCAUGUGGUUUAAUUCGACGCAACGCGAAGAACCUUACCUGGGUUUGACAUCCCGAUCGUACCUUAUGGAAACAUAGGGGUCAGUUCGGCUGGAUCGGUGACAGGUGCUGCAUGGCUGUCGUCAGCUCGUGUCGUGAGACGUU
rnacentral:rRNA from 1 species